rnacentral:rRNA from 1 species
GUGCCAGCAGCCGCGGUAAUACGUAGGGGGCAAGCGUUGUCCGGAAUCAUUGGGCGUAAAGCGCGUGUAGGCGGCCUUGUAAGUCCGUUCUGAAAGCCCGGGGCUCAACCCCGGGAGGCGGAUGGAUACUGCAAGGCUCGAGUACGGAAGAGGCGAGUGGAAUUCCCGGUGUAGCGGUGAAAUGCGCAGAUAUCGGGAGGAACACCAAUGGCGAAGGCAGCUCGCUGGGACGUUACUGACGCUGAGACGCGAAAGCGUGGGGAGCAAACAGGAUUAGAUACCCCCGUAGUCC